GCGAUCGGCCAGAAAACUGCAAUUGGUGCACCCCUAUUUGCUGCCAUGUGAUUGGCUGAUUUACUAUUUGUGCAGUCAAUUUGAACAGUAGAAGCUAAUAAAGUGGCCAUUAGGGAGAAAUGUUGGGUUUCUGUUUUUAUUACAUAAGAAAAACUGACGAUGUUUUAUUGACUGAUCACUGCUUCUGUCAACGACUGAAAGCACAUUAAUUAGAUCAAGGUUCACAUCAAACCAGAUGAACCCAUUUUGGAAUGAGGAUCCUCUGCUGAAGUUUUCUUUUAUUUUCUUUUUUUUUUCCUGUGUGCUUUUCUCCCCAAUAACUUUGUGCUCCACGCUCGCCGUUCUCAAAGUGUGCAGCCGCACCACAGCCUCCUGUCUCUGCCCUGCUUCUCCUCCAGACGGUACUCACUGAUUCUUCCCUGCCGACCUCUGACACCCAGAGCGACGUGCCACGUUUCUGACGGCACUCGGAUCCUGAUUGAUGUCAUCAGUGAGUCAAAGGUUCCUGUAACAUGCAGAGAGAAGGAAGCUGGACUUCAGAGAUAGCCUGAUGAACCCUUGUUGUUGGAAAAAGGUUUUAGCAGCCAAUUACCUAGCAGUAGCUGAAUAAUAAUUUUAAGUGGAAAUUUUGGAAAUCUCAUCUGUUAGCUUUCGUCAAUUGAGUCUGAAGAGAAAACUUAGCAUUUUUCUUUCCUUUAUCCUUGUAAGAUUGUGGGAGGAUACCCCAAACCGUUUGAAUUCAAGUCAGUGCUAGCAAACACUGAGAAAAUGCAUGUCUGACUUUGAAGACACUAAUGAAUAAAUCUCUCACAUAUUCUUUCUCUUAUUAUUAUUUAGCACAUAGGAAUAAUUUGGGUAAUUCUAACUGGCCUAAAGCAAUAAAAAUUUGGUCUUAUUUAGUUUCAGACAGUGAGAAAAUAAAAGGUUUUGUCUUUUUAUUUGAUGUCUGUAAGCUAGUUGUGGGUGGCUCAAUCCACAAUAUCGAUAAUAUCGAUAGCAAGUCGGUAUCAGUAUCCGAUAAAUACUAGCACAAUAAAAUCAAUACUUUAGUUUCAGAUUCCCUCUUGAAAUUUGCCAUUAAUUUACUCACAAAUAAUAUUUUUUGUGCUUUAUUUUGAAAACAGUGCACACAAAUUUGUUUUGCUUUCCUAUUGUUUCAGUUUAUUAUGUUAUUAAAUGACUUUGUAGACACCUGUAAACUUUAUCUAAAUUCUGUCCCAGGUUUUAACUAAAUAAUUCACAGGAAUUUAGUCAGAAAAACAGCUAAUGGUGAGAUAUUUGAAGAUAUGUCACACUUAAAUUAUAAGUAUCUGUAUUAGUAUCAGCGAUACAGGCCUUGUAUUUAUCGGAUUGACGUCAAAAUAUUCAGUAUCACAUACCUCUAAUGUAAACUCCUGCUUUUAACUUUAUACCUCUCAGCGUUUAGUGAAUGUGAGAGAUUACAAACCAAAACCAUUGAAAAAACAUUUAUUUUAUUGUGAAGUAGUCACAUUUUCCUACUCCACAUUUCAGCUACUCACAGUCAGUGUUGAUUUUCAGGCACAACCUCAUUGAGAAUUAUGUGUUGAAAUUCCCCAACCAGAUUGGUAAAAUAUGAAGCUGCAGACGGAAACAAUAAAGCAAAAAUAUAGCAAAACAAAAAUUAGUUUUCUGACCUUGUCGGGUUUGCUGGAGCCUCUAAAUGCACCUGAGAGUCUGAAUUCUCCCCAACACAAAUGGUGCAUAAAUUUUCCGAACGUAAACUGCCCUCUGUGAACAGACGCGCAGGUUGGGGAUAACCGUCGAGCAAACCAGCUCAUCGUGCAACACCUCCAACCCUGACUUUGUCUUUUCAUCGCCCAUGGAUGCGACGUUUCCCGUGACGAGUACCUCUGCUUCUCCUCUGGUCUGAUGUCAGCAAAGAAGCCAACAGCGGUUAAGAGGCUCACCCUUACAGAGCCAUGAGAAAAGGUUUGUACAAUGUGGACUAAAGUGCAAAGCUUUUAAGUGCACAGCAUCACCAGAACAUAAAUAGAGGACAACUGUGUGCAGUCUUAAUGCUACUGCACUUGUACUAACAUUCUGAAGUGCAGGCAGAAGCAAGUGUCCAUGGACACAGAGACGGUGACAUGAGUGCUGCCAGCACUUCUGAAAACAUGUUGUACUCUUUUUUUUUUGGCCUGCUUUCCUGCCUGAGAAAAAAUCCAAGAAAGCUGAAAUGUUAUCAGCGCUGUUGAAAUUAGUUAGAUGACAGAAGGUGGCUUCUCUUUCAUACUAAACUCUUUUAAUCCACAGCUUUGAUUUGUCUCCAGGUUGUCAAACAGGUGGGUGUCCCACAAAACACUGCUUUUGGAUUCUUAUGUGUUGCUCUGAAUUGGUUGUAGUUUAUGAUUAAUUUGGUUAAUUUAAUUCUUUCAGUCAUGCCACGUCAGUAAAUGUCUUGUUUUCCUAUUUCUGCGUUAGCUUUGGUUUAGGAUUUCAAAUCAUUCUCAUGUUUAAUUUUAUUGGCGUUUGAGUGUUAUUUUCACUCACCCCUCUAUAUACAUUGUGUGUUUGUUUGCUGUUGUAACAAUAAUUUUCCCCACUCAGCCACAGAACAAUAUUUAAUUACACCUGAUUUUCAUGGCACUAAUCACCUCCCAAGAAUAUAAGCUUCCUAUUCUGUCACUUCUUGUCAGAUCCUGCUGCUUCUAUUGUUUUAUGAAAAGUUUCAUAUUCAGAUGAAACUUUUUCUGUUAUGAUAACUUUUGUUCUCAUAAACAAAUUCCAAAACAUUACUUGGAUUUAUUU